UACGUAGGGGGCUAGCGUUGUCCGGAAUCAUUGGGCGUAAAGCGCGCGUAGGCGGUCCGGUAAGUCCGCUGUGAAAGUCGGGGGCUCAACCCUCGGAUGCCGGUGGAUACUGUCGGGCUCGAGUACGGAAGAGGCGAGUGGAAUUCCUGGUGUAGCGGUGAAAUGCGCAGAUAUCAGGAGGAACACCAAUUGCGAAGGCAGCUCGCUGGGACGUUACUGACGCUGAGACGCGAAAGCGUGGGGAGCAAACAGG
rnacentral:rRNA from 1 species